UUGUUGGUAAGGUAAAAGCUUACCAAGGCUUCGAUCAGUAGCUGGUCUGAGAGGACGACCAGCCACACUGGGACUGAGACACGGCCCAGACUCCUACGGGAGGCAGCAGUGGGGAAUUUUGGACAAUGGGGGCAACCCUGAUCCAGCCAUGCCGCGUGAGUGAAGAAGGCCUUCGGGUUGUAAAGCUCUUUCAGCCGGAACGAAACGGUUACGGAUAACACCCGUGACUACUGACGGUACCGGAAGAAGAAGCACCGGCUAACUACGUGCCAACAGCCGCGGUAAUACGUAGGGUGCGAGCGUUAAUCGGAAUUACUGGGCGUAAAGCGUGCGCAGGUGGUUUUGUAAGUCAGAUGUGAAAGCCCCGGGCUCAACCUGGGAACUGCGUUUGAAACUACAAGACUAGAGUGUGGCAGAGGGGGGUGGAAUUCCGCGUGUAGCAGUGAAAUGCGUAGAGAUGUGGAGGAACACCGAUGGCGAAGGCAGCCCCCUGGGUCAACACUGACGCUCAGGCACGAAAGCAUGGGGAGCAAACAGGAUUAGAUACCCUGGUAGUCCAUGCCCUAAACGAUGUCAACUAGUUGUCGGGCCUUUACGGGCUUGGUAACGUAGCUAACGCGUGAAGUUGACCGCCUGGGGAGUACGAUCGCAAGAUUAAAACUCAAAUGAAUUGACGGGGACCCGCACAAGCGGUGGAUUAUGUGGAUUAAUUCGAUGCAACGCGAAAAACCUUACCUACCCUUGACAUGUAUCGAAGCCCGCAGAAAAGCGGGGGUGCCCGAAAGGGAACGAUAACACAGGUGCUGCAUGGCUGUCAUCAGCUCGUGUCGUGAGAUGUUGGGUUAAGUCCCGCAACGAGCGCAACCCUUGUCAUUAAUUGCCAUCAUUUAGUUGGGCACUUUAAUGAGACUGCCGG
rnacentral:rRNA from 1 species